rnacentral:rRNA from 1 species
GAUGAACGCUGGCGGCGUGCUUAACACAUGCAAGUCGAACGGACUUUAGGAGCUUGCUCCUAGAGUUAGUGGCGGACGGGUGAGUAACGCGUGGGUAACCUGCCCUAUGCAGGGGGAUAACGUUUGGAAACGAACGCUAAUACCGCAUAACCUAGUCGGUUUGCAUGAACUGGCUAGCAAAGAUUUAUCGGCAUAGGAUGGACCCGCGUUAGAUUAGCUAGUUGGUGAGAUAACAGCCCACCAAGGCAACGAUCUAUAGCCGGCCUGAGAGGGUGAACGGCCACACUGGGACUGAGACACGGCCCAGACUCCUACGGGAGGUAGCAGUGGGGAAUAUUGCACAAUGGGCGCAAGCCUGAUGCAGCGACGCCGCGUGAAGGAUGAAGGUCUUCGGAUCGUAAACUUCUAUCAGCAGGGAAGAAUACCAUGACGGUACCUGACUAAGAAGCCCCGGCUAACUACGUGCCAGCAGCCGCAGUAAGAC